GGAGUUAGCCGGUGCUUCUUCUGUGAGUGAUGUCCUUCCUGCCGGCUAUUAACCCGCAGGCCUUCUUCCUCACUGAAAGUGCUUUACAACCCGAAGGCCUUCUUCACACACGCGGCAUGGCUGGAUCAGGGUUGCCCCCAUUGUCCAAUAUUCCCCACUGCUGCCUCCCGUAGGAGUCUGGGCCGUGUCUCAGUCCCAGUGUGGCUGAUCAUCCUCUCAGACCAGCUACGGAUCGUCGCCUUGGUGAGCCGUUACCUCACCAACCAGCUAAUCCGACAUAGGCUCAUCCGAUAGCGCGAGGCCCGAAGGUCCCCCGCUUUCCCCCGUAGGGCGUAUGCGGUAUUAGCCUGGGUUUCCCCAGGUUAUCCCCCACUACCGGGCAGAUUACUAUGCAUUACUCACCCGUCCGCCGCUCGCCACCAGGGAGCAAGCUCCCCGUGCUGCCGCUCGACUUGCAUGUGUUAGGCCUGCCGCCAGCGUUCAAUCUGAGCCAUAAUCAAACUCUGA
rnacentral:rRNA from 1 species